rnacentral:rRNA from 1 species
CAGCAGUAGCCGCGGUAAGACAGAGGAUGCAAGCGUUAUCCGGAAUGAUUGGGCGUAAAGCGUCUGUAGGUGGCUUUUCAAGUCCGCCGUCAAAUCCCAGGGCUCAACCUGGGAACUGCAUUUGUGACUGGCAAGUUAGAGUCUGGCAGAGGGGGGUGGAAUUCCGCGUGUAGCAGUGAAAUGCGUAGACAUGCGGAGGAACACCGAUGGCGAAGGCAGCCCCCUGGGCCAACACUGACGCUCAUGCACGAAAGCGUGGGGAGCAAACAGGAUUAGAUACCCCCGUAGUCCCUGUCUCUUAUAC